GACGAACGCUGGCGGCGUGCCUAAUACAUGCAAGUCGAACGAGAGCGACCGGUGCUUGCACUGGUCAAUCUAGUGGCGAACGGGUGAGUAACACGUGGGUAACCUGCCCAUCAGAGGGGGAUAACAUCCGGAAACGGAUGCUAACACCGCAUAGGUCUUCGAGCCGCAUGGCUUGAAGAGGAAAAGAGGCGCAAGCUUCUGCUGAUGGAUGGACCCGCGGUGCUUUGGCUAGUUGGUGAGGUAACGGCUCCCCAAGGCCGUGAUGCAUAGCCGACCUGAGGGGGUGAUCGGCCACAUUGGGACUGAGACACGGCCCAAACUCCUACGGGAGGCAGAAGUAGGGAAUCUUCCGAAAUGGACGGAAGACUGACGGAGCAACGCAGCGUGAGUGAAGAAGGUUUUCGGAUCGUAAAACUCUGUUGUUAGUGAAGAACAAGUGCUAGAGUAACUGUUAGCGCCUUGACGGUAUCUAACAAGAAAGCCACGGCUAACUACGUG
rnacentral:rRNA from 1 species